rnacentral:rRNA from 1 species
UACGUAGGGUGCAAGCGUUGUCCGGAAUUAUUGGGCGUAAAGCGCUCGUAGGCGGUCUGUCGCGUCGGAUGUGAAAAUCCAGGGCUCAACCCUGGACCUGCAUUCGAUACGGGCAGACUAGAGUUCGGUAGGGGAGACUGGAAUUCCUGGUGUAGCGGUGAAAUGCGCAGAUAUCAGGAGGAACACCGGUGGCGAAGGCGGGUCUCUGGGCCGAAACUGACGCUGAGGAGCGAAAGCGUGGGGAGCAAACAGG